rnacentral:rRNA from 1 species
GUGGGGAAUAUUGGGCAAUGGGCGCAAGCCUGACCCAGCAACGCCGCGUGAAGGAAGAAGGCUUUCGGGUUGUAAACUUCUUUUACCAGGGACGAAACAAAUGACGGUACCUGGUGAAUAAGCCACGGCUAACUACGUGCCAGCAGCCGCGGUAAUACGUAGGUGGCGAGCGUUAUCCGGAUUUAUUGGGUGUAAAGGGCGUGUAGGCGGGACAGCAAGUCAGAUGUGAAAACCAGAGGCUCAACCUCUGGCCUGCAUUUGAAACUGUUGUUCUUGAGUGGCGGAGAAGUAAUCGGAAUUCCGUGUGUAGCGGUGAAAUGCGUAGAUAUACGGAGGAACACCAGUGGCGAAGGCGGAUUACUGGACGAUAACUGACGCUGAGGCGCGAAAGCGUGGGGAGCAAACAGGAUUAGAAACCCCAGUAGUCC